rnacentral:rRNA from 1 species
CGGAGUGGCGGACGGGGGAGUAAUGUCUGGGAAACUGCCUGGUGGAGGGGGAUAACUACUGGAAACGGUAGCUAAUACCGCAUAACGUCGCAAGACCAAAGAGGGGGACCUUCGGGCCUCUUGCCAUCGGAUGUGCCCAGAUGGGAUUAGCUAGUAGGUGGGGUAACGGCUCACCUAGGCGACGAUCCCUAGCUGGUCUGAGAGGAUGACCAGCCACACUGGAACUGAGACACGGUCCAG